rnacentral:rRNA from 1 species
ACUGAAGAGUUUGAUCAUGGCUCAGAUUGAACGCUGGCGGCAGGCUUAACACAUGCAAGUCGAGCGGGGGAAGGUAGCUUGCUACUGGACCUAGCGGCGGACGGGUGAGUAAUGCUUAGGAAUCUGCCUAUUAGUGGGGGACAACAUCUCGAAAGGGAUGCUAAUACCGCAUACGUCCUACGGGAG